GACGAACGCUGGCGGCGUGCUUAACACAUGCAAGUCGAACGGAAAGGCCCUGCUUUUGUGGGGUGCUCGAGUGGCGAACGGGUGAGUAACACGUGAGUAACCUGCCCUUGACUUUGGGAUAACUUCAGGAAACUGGGGCUAAUACCGGAUAGGAGCUCCUGCUGCAUGGUGGGGGUUGGAACGUUUCGGCGGUUGGGGAUGGACUAGCGGCUUAUCAGCUUGCUGGUGGGGUAGUGGAUUACCAAGGCUUUGACGGGUCGCCGGCCUGGGAGGGUGAACGGCGACAAUGGGACUGAGAUACGGCCCAGAGUGCUACAGGAGGCAGCAGUGGGGAAUAUUGCACAAUGGGCGGAAGCCUGAUGCAGCAACGCCGCGUGCGGGAUGACGUCCUUCGGGUUGUAAACCGCUUUCGCCUGUGACGAAGCGGGAGUGACGGUAAUGGGUAAAGAAGCACCGGCUAACUACGUG
rnacentral:rRNA from 1 species